rnacentral:rRNA from 1 species
GAUCGGCCACACUGGGACUGAGACACGGCCCAGACUCCUACGGGAGGCAGCAGUAGGGAAUCUUCCGCAAUGGACGAAAGUCUGACGGAGCAACGCCGCGUGAGUGAUGAAGGUUUUCGGAUCGUAAAGCUCUGUUGUUAGGGAAGAACAAGUGCAAGAGUAACUGCUUGCACCUUGACGGUACCUAACCAGAAAGCCACGGCUAACUACGUGCCAGCAGCCGCGGUAAUACGUAGGUAGGCAAGCGUUGUCCGGAAUUAUUGGGCGUAAAGGGCUCGCAGGCGGUUUCUUAAGUCUGAUGUGAAAGCCCCCGGCUCAACCGGGGAGGGUCAUUGGAAACUGGGAAACUUGAGUGCAGAAGAGGAGAGUGGAAUUCCACGUGUAGCGGUGAAAUGCGUAGAGAUGUGGAGGAACACCAGUGGCGAAGGCGACUCUCUGGUCUGUAACUGACGCUGAGGAGCGAAAGCGUGGGGAGCGAACAGGAUUAGAUACCCUGGUAGUCCACGCCGUAAACGAUGAGUGCUAAGUGUUAGGGGGUUUCCGCCCCUUAGUGCUGCAGCUAACGCAUUAAGCACUCUGCCUGGGGCAGUACGUGCGAAAGA